CCAUUCCCAGGUUCUCUGAUUUGUACAAUGGAUUUAUGAAUACAAAUUUUUGGCAAUAAGAUGUUGUCAAAUGAAUAAUUUUGGAAAAAAAUGUAAACAUAUGAUUGCAUGACUUUACCUCCUUAAUUCUACCAUGUUCGUUGUAUUCCUUUUUGUAAGAAAACUGUGAACAGUAAACAGAGAGAAUCCCUGUAAAUUUGCUAGCAAUCAGCUGGUUUGUCAAAACAAAAAAAAUUGUGCGUUAUAAACAGAGAUAAACAAUGCAGGAAUUAAAAUUGUGGCGAAAAAACAAAACAAUUACGCUUGCGAUUUCCAAUAUAAAAUGUCUGGUCUGUAAUUUGCUUGUCCAAAUAUAAUUCGCCGGAAGGAGAAGAAAAAGAUUUGCAAGCGACUGAAGAAGAAAGAAAUUGUUCUCUCAAAUCUCUUUUGCAGAAUCUUCGUGUUAAUAGACGACAUCCAAAAAUUGUAGAAGAAUACAGGCAAAUGCAUCAAUACUCGCGAACAUUGAUAUGUCAAAAAUAUUUAAAAAUAUCUGCCAAAAUAAAAAUGGAUUUUAAAAUAUUUUCUUAUACGAUGCCGUUCAGAGCUGUGUUGAUGCGUCUACUUGUAUCAUUUUGUUAUGAUACAGCAUUAAGGUACAUAAAACGCUUUUUUGACUGGCUGAAGUUGUCGGCUGACUUCUUCGGAAAAGAACAAAGGAGCCUAGGGCCAAAAUCGAUCUAAGUCAACCUAAAACUCCUUUGUUCAUCUACGAAGAAGUCAGCCGACGACUUAUGUAUUAUGUAUUUCCACCCUUAAUCUUGCCAUACGCUCCAGAGUGGCAAAUGUUUCUGCAAAGGAAACAGGUAUAACAAAAACCUAAACAUUGAAUAGUUCAUGAUAAAAUAUUAAACAAAUAUCAAUAAACAGUUACUUUCUGAGAUCAAUCGUCUCUAUAUUAGGUUUCUUGAUAAAUCUUUAUUUUGAUAUUCCUCUCUUUUGCUUGUGUCAGCUGAGAGGCAUUUAAGGUGAGAAUACAUAAAGCGCUUUUUUCACUGGCUUAAGUCGUCGGCUGGCGUCUUCGGAAGAGAACAUGAAACCUAGGUCCAAAAUCGAACUUAGUCAAACUAAAACUCCUUUGUUCCUCCACUAAGAUUGACUUAAGCCAGACAAAAAACCGUUUUAUGUAUUCUCACCUUUAUACGCUCCUAAUGGUGUAUCCAUAGAAGAAUACAGGUAGAUGCAUCAACGCUUAAGAACAUUGAUAUGUCAAUAAUUUUUAAAUGUUCUUUCAAAUAUCAGUAGAUUUUUAUAUAUUUUCUUGUACGACGUCGUUCGGAGGUUCACGUUUUUCAACAAUUUUUACAAAUUUAAAUAAAUUUUGAUUCAAAAUUUUCAAUUCCAAAAUUUAUUUAUAUUAUGCGACUACUUAUAUUCUUCUAUCAUGGGUGUAUCCAUGUUGGGGAAUUUG